GAGUUCAUGCCCUCACGGGUAGAUCUCCCACCCUUGAAUAUUAUACCUUCGUUGCUUUGGCAGGCCGUGGAAACACCAUGGGCUCCGGCUGAUGCGUGCCUGCCAGAGGACCACAACUCUGUAUCAAAUGUCGUCUGAGUACUAUAAAAUAGUUAAAACCUUCAACAACGGAUCUCUUGGUUCU
rnacentral:misc_RNA from 1 species